rnacentral:misc_RNA from 1 species
AGCAGCCGCGGUAAUUCCAGCUCCAAUAGCGUAUAUUAAAGUUGUUGCAGUUAAAAAGCUCGUAGUUGAAUUUCGGGAUCAGUUGGUCGGUCGUGCCUCGGUACGUACUGGUCAAAUUGAUUCCUACCUUCUGACGAACCACGAUGUCAUUAAUUUGGUGUCGUGGGAAAUCAGGACUGUUACUUUGAAAAAAUUAGAGUGUUUAAAGCAGGCUCGCGCUUGAAUACAUUAGCAUGGAAUAAUGAAAUAGGACGUUUGAUUCUAUUUUGUUGGUUUCUAGGAUCGACGUAAUGAUUAAUAGGGAUAGUUGGGGGCAUUAGUAUUCAAUUGUCAGAGGUGAAAUUCUUGGAUUUAUUGAAGACUAACUACUGCGAAAAGCAUUUGCCAAGGAUGUUUUCAUUAAUCAAGAACGAAAGUUAGGGGAUCGAAGACGAUCAGAUACCGUCGUAGUCUUAACCAUAAACUAUGCCGACUAGGGAUCGGAUGAUGUUAAUUUUUAAUGACUCAUUCGGCGCCUUAC